CUCUGGCCUCGCCGUCUUAGGCCUCAGCGAGUCGCCUUGGCCUCCUUCACACAGAAAAAUAGUUUUCUACCGGAGAAUGACAUCCGUUUCCCACUAAAGAUGCCGGUGUUUCUCCAGUGCUUACAAAGCGAGCCUACUGUGACUGACUCAGACACGGACAUUUCACAGUGGCUCCAGAAGGCAUCAGUCAAUAUUAAGGACUCAUUAUAGUAAAUCAUCUACACAGGUAUGUGAAGAGAGAGAGAAGAAGUUCUGGCUACAAGUACUUUGCACAAUGAAUAGUCAAGAGAAAAUGCACAGGGAAGAAGCCUCAGAAGUUCCAGAGUGGAAUAUGGAUGCUGCAUGUGACGUAAGUAACUAUUAUCAUCUGCCCCACCUCCUUGUCUGACUUUAAAUAAACAAACAAACAAACAAACA
rnacentral:lncRNA from 1 species